rnacentral:lncRNA from 1 species
CACUAAAGAACAUGUCAGGAAACCACAAGGCAUAAUUUCUCUGUGUGGCAAUAUUCUGCAGGGAGCCUGGAUAGCUGUAAUGGAUCACUUUGACAUAGUAAAAAUUCAGUUUCUGGAACUGGCUCCUUAGUCUCCAAACCAUGGAGCUCCUCGUGCCAGUCCUGCUCCCACAAGCUGCAUGGGUUAAGGAGAAGGACUCAGCUGAGAUUCAGAGUGGGUGUAUCCUACCCACACCUGACAGAACUUUGCAUCACCAGAACUCCACGGUGAUGGGUACAUCUGUAUGGUCCAGAGCAGAGCAACACCCAGAGCUUCCAGGGGGGUCCAGAACUCACGUUGGUCUCUGCUAUUUUCAAAUCAGCCAGAAAGAACCCAAUGUAUCUCCAGCUGAGAACUCAGAGAGGAGUUUCCAAGCAUCUUUUACCACCUCUGCGGACUCUGCCCAAAAAGUAAGUUUUCAGGCAAGAGAAACCUUUUCUGAACACUGACUAAUUUUUUUUUUUCCAAGAAACAUCUUAGCCAAUAAUAAGGACAAGAAUUGUGUAGCUUUAUAGUCAGCAGAAAUCCAGAGUUAGGGAACCUCCUGAGCCAUUGAGAACUCAAGGCAGUCAGUACAGCUCUGAAUUUCCCUGGCCACGAACUCAGUGGGAGAUGACUGCAAGUGCCUGAUGUGCUGGUGAUGUUUCUGUCAGAAAUGUCAAAGCUCCAGCACUGCCCCCCUGGACCCUUUUGCCACCUUCUGCUCCACUAUCCUUGGAUUCAAAGCAUCAAGGGCUGGCUGCAUGGAAUUAUGCUGUAUUUGCUACAAAGCAUGGAUAUAGACUUGGUCUUAUUGUUCCUACUUGAACAAAAAAGCAGAGUAAAUCAUUCACAAAUCCGUUGUGAUGGAAUCAGAAAGAGGUAAAUCUACCUGAAAAGUGGGUGGAUCAUGAAUUAGUUGCCUUCUCCCAUUCUCUUCUGCCCUCUCUUUUGGUAAAAGUUGGCCCAACUUUUACCAAGAAAAUAGGAUAAUAAAAAGAUAACAGAAGAUAAAGUCA